rnacentral:RNase_MRP_RNA from 2 species
GCGCCGUCUGAAGAAUCGCUAUCGCAGCUCACGCACAGAGAGAGCCCUGCUCUUCUCACACAGCUGUGGGGAAAGUCCCCGGAGACACAGAGGCUAAUCCUCGUCCAUCGCAGAAAGUGCCCGGCUCUAAGCACGUCGGGGCGGACGGGGACGGCGAGAAUGAUAUGCGCGGGUCCUGCACCUGCUGCGGGUCCCGGGCUCCCUCUCGCCACUCUGUUGCGCGCCUGUCGAUGCGCUGCCCGGCGACGGCCCUGGCAUGCGAAGAUACGAGCAUGUCGCGGCUCGGGCAGCGCUGAGAUGGGUGCGCGCAUCGUUGCUCAUAGACACAGUUAUGCGAUUGUAGACCCGUUCGAUCGCGGGCGGGUCCUCAACUCAAUGGGGCUUACUCUCAUUCGGCG